CUUCAAACAAGGAAGCUUCAUGUUAUAUGGAAUAGUCCAUUUGCGAAAACAUAAUAAUUUGUCAUCUGUGAUAAUUCUCCUCCCUGUAUCCAUACCCUGAGGUAAUCCUCUCACACAAUGGCUCUGGGCUUGGUCAUAUAAAAAUUGUUUUGAUCAAUGAGACAUUAGGAAAUGGGAUUCAAGUGGAUUCUUGAGAAGUGGAUAAGCACAUGUUCUCUGGAGUUCUUAGACCAUUGUAUGAAGAAACCCAAGUGAGCCUGCUAAAGAUUGAGAAACCACAUGGAAGAAACACAAACUGCCACAACAGAAGCUCAUAAAGACUAACCAGCCUUCCAACCACCAGUGAUCUGAAUGAAGUUAUCCUUAAUCAACCUGUUGAGAGCAGACUUGCCAACUGACUAUAGGCCAUGAGAGAACUUUGCAGCGAUAAGCAAAGCUGGUUCAGACCAGAAGAAUUACAGUGAUGAUCCACAGACAUCUUCACUAGGAUUUAUCUUGGUGUUUGUUAUGUCAUUUUUGUCUUGGACAACAUGUACCCACUGAAUCUGAAGAUUCAAGACUUAUGAGAAACUUUCAGGAAACUGAAGGCAGAAGAGAGGCUAAGUAACUUUUUCAAGAUCACACAGCUAAUAAAUGGCAAGGUCUGGAUUUAAACCCAACUGCCUGAUUCCAGAAUCCAGCCUGCUUCAUGCAGUACAGUCUAUCCUAAUGAGGAAGUGUAUUGGCAUCUCCUCUCUAAGCCAGUCAGUCAGCUGGCUUACUCCAGGGAUAUCUGCAUUUGGCAAGUUCUAGACUAUUUAGACAGUCCCCCACCAUUUGGAAGUCACUGUCCAGUGAAAGGAUAACAGAGUGGGUUUCAACCAUUGUGGCACUGCAUGCUUCUGAGGAAGAGAAAGGAGGUGGACGGAGGAGAUGGAAAGACAAAGGUAGCAGAUUAAAAAGGAAACAGAUAAUCAGAGAAAGCUGAUGCAGAUGGAUGGAAGCACGGUUUGCUCCUGCUACUACAGGACAUGCUAAGGGAAGUAGAGUAUAAUUGGCUGUAUCCCCUGACUUCAGUCUUCCCUGGAUGCAACUUUCCAGGUUUCCUCAAAUUCUAGGCUCACCAUAGCACGAGAAGAGAAGAGAUCACAUGGUGCGCAGGUGCCUAAGCAGACACUCUGACUCCAGACAUUGUAAUUAAAGAUCACCGUUGAUUCAAGAGGUCCUAACCUCAGCAGGCUGCAUCAGUAUCUUCUGUCUGAAGAAGUUGCUUUCUUUUCAUCAAACACAUUCCAGAAGUCAGCGGUAAAAGCACUGACGGGGGAGAGCAGAUUGAUCCAUUAACUCUCACCCAGUUCCUUGGCUGAACCCUCGCUUCACAUUCCAGUUUUAGAGAUUUGGUGAGUUAUCAAACAGGAAACAAGCUCUGAAAGGAAUUGUGUCUUUGGAGGUUGUUGCCAAGGCUCCUUCUUGUAGCCUGUGCACCCUAGAGAGGAUGAGAGAUCUGCCUCCUAACAACAGUUUUCAAGACUUCUCAAACUUUCUGCCUGAAUUAUGGGGUGGGGAGACCUUGUUAAAAUACACGUAGUGUAUACAAGUAGCGGUGGAUCCUGAGACUCUGCAUUUCUGUGCUUCUAAUAAGCUCCCAGCUGAUGCCAAUGUCAUGCCCAUGAGCCACAUUUUGAGUAGGAAGGAGCUAAAAAGCACUGGGAAUCUGACAGAAGACAAGGUAGUUGCCUUUUUACCCAUUUGAGUUUAAGCUUCCAACGUUAUCCAACAAUGCAUCAUAUAUACUUGCCAAAUGACAUUGGGUUGAAUGCAGUGGGAAGAAAUACAUAAGAAACUGCCCAGUGUGUGGUUAUUCAAACACCUACUGCUCAGGUUGUGAACAACACAGUCACUUUAAACCCCAUGGGCCCAGUGAGAAUGAGGAAUCCCGGCAAAAAACAAAGGUGUGUGUCUCUAAGGUGAGAAGAUUGACAAGGGAAGAUAGCCUCCAUACUUUCAGCAAGGCUAAAAGAGGAAUAGUGAUUAUUUCCUCUGUGCUCAGUUCUCUUUCGGGUGACUUUUUAACCUCAGGAGGUACUCCAGGCCACUUUGAGGGGAAUUCGAUUUGGGUGUAGCCUUUUAAGGCACCAUUCCAUGUGACUAAAAUAAAGAUCACAAGUGAGAUCCAAAGCACAGAGAAGUACUGCCUUAACAGAUCUGAACUUGCGGCAAGUUGCAGCUCCUCACCAUAGUCCAAGUUUCACUUUUCUCUCAAUUGAAGAGCCUGAGAUAACUGCUGAAUUUAGUUUUCGUUUUCUCCAAGAAGAGUGACCUUCUUACCUUAAAUUCUUUAAACUUACUGAUAAGGUUUCAUGUCAGACAGACCUGGCCCUGGUGUUUUGACAUACCGCCUGUGCCAUCUUGAACGCCAGACUUUUACAAAUGUUAUUUUCUCUUUUGUAAAAUUUAAAUGAUGAAAACCUACCCCACGGCAUUGCUGUGAAUCCUAAAUAAGGUAACGUAUAAACCAAGUAUGUAUAGUCUAAAUAAAUCAAUAAAACAACACAUGCACCUAUCUUUCCAAUUGUUAAAAAAAAAAAAAAAGUAGAACAUCUUUGUCCCCAAAAGCAGCUCAAAAUUCUUCUAGGAGUAGAGAGGGCAUUAGAAAUGCCAAAGGAUUUCCUUUGGUGGCGAAUUUGACGGCUGGGAAAUAUUUUAGGAGAGAGAAGGCCAUAAUUUAAAGUAUCCUGACAUCAAUAAAUAUUUCCUUAGCAUUUAGCUGUGAGAGCUCUGAAUCCUCUGUCUGUUCAGAAAUUUCUAAUUUAAAAAUAAUAUGGUGCUUUGGGAGUUUGUGAAUCCACACAAACGUCAGAAAGACCCGGUGUCGUCAUAGUUUUCCACACUUAGGGAGAUGUGUACACUGCCCUUAUUUCUUCCUGAGAUGACGAAGGAAGACAAGGUAACCUCCAUUACCCCUUCAG
rnacentral:lncRNA from 10 species